GUGCAGCAGGCGCGAAAACUCCGCAAUGCGCGAAAGCGUGACGGGGUCACCCCGAGUGCCGUCCGCUGAGGAUGGCUUUUGCCUGGUCUAACCAGCCGGGUGAAUAAGGAGAGGGCAAGUCUGGUGUCAGCCGCCGCGGUAAUACCAGCUCUCCGAGUGGUAGGGACGAUUAUUGGGCUUAAAGCGUCCGUAGCCGGCUCAGCAAGUCUCCCGUUAAAUCCAACGAUUCAAUCGUUGGACUGCGGGAGAUACUGUUGAGCUAGGAAGCGGGAGAGGCCGACGGUAUUCCCGGAGUAGGGGUGAAAUCUUAUUAUUCCGGGAGGAACACCAGUGGCGAAGGCUGGCGGCUAGAACGCGCUCGACCGUGAGGGACGAAA
rnacentral:rRNA from 1 species